rnacentral:misc_RNA from 1 species
ACAAGCCGUGGGAGAUCAUCUUUGAUCUCACACCUGGCCAACCUUGUUUAUCUUAAACCUGUUGCUUUGGUGGGCCUGCCAUAUCAGGGCUGCCGGGAAACUUGUGUUUCCGGGCUAGUGCUCACCAAAGUCCUUUUAAACUCAUAGUUGUUUUUUUCUGCUGUCUGAGCAUGCAAAUUGCAAAAAUUUAAUUA